rnacentral:rRNA from 1 species
UACGUAGGUGGCAAGCGUUGUCCGGAAUUAUUGGGCGUAAAGCGCGCGCAGGCGGCCUUUUAAGUCUGAUGUGAAAGCCCACGGCUCAACCGUGGAAGGUCAUUGGAAACUGAAAGGCUUGAGUACAGAAGAGGAAAGCGGAAUUCCACGUGUAGCGGUGAAAUGCGUAGAGAUGUGGAGGAACACCAGUGGCGAAGGCGGCUUUCUGGACGGUAACUGACGCUGAGACGCGAAAGCGUGGGGAGCAAACAGG